rnacentral:rRNA from 1 species
CCUACGGGGGGCUGCAGUGGGGAAUAUUGGACAAUGGGCGAAAGCCUGAUCCAGCAAUGCCGCGUGAGUGAUGAAGGCCUUAGGGUUGUAAAGCUCUUUUACCCGGGAAGAUAAUGACUGUACCGGGAGAAUAAGCCCCGGCUAACUCCGUGCCAGCAGCCGCGGUAAUACGGAGGGGGCUAGCGUUAUUCGGAAUUACUGGGCGUAAAGCGCGCGUAGGCGGUUUUUCAAGUCAGAGGUGAAAGCCCGGAGCUCAACUCCGGAAUUGCCUUUGA